rnacentral:rRNA from 1 species
AGUGAACGCUGGCGGUAGGCCUAACACAUGCAAGUCGAACGGCAGCACAGUAAGAGCUUGCUCUUACGGGUGGCGAGUGGCGGACGGGUGAGGAAUACAUCGGAAUCUACUUUUUCGUGGGGGUUAACGUAGGGAAACUUACGCUAAUACCGCAUACGACCUACGGGUGAAAGCAGGGGAUCUUCGGACCUUGCGCGAUUGAAUGAGCCGAUGUCGGAUUAGCUAGUUGGCGGGGUAAAGGCCCACCAAGGCGACGAUCCGUAGCUGGUCUGAGAGGAUGAUCAGCCACACUGGAACUGAGACACGGUCCAGGCUCCUACGGGAGGCAGCAGUGGGGAAUAUUGGACAAUGGGCGCAAGCCUGAUCCAGCCAUACCGCGUGGGUGAAGAAGGCCUUCGGGUUGUAAAGCCCUUUUGUUGGGAAAGAAAAGCAGCAGGUUAAUACCCCGCUGUUCUGACGGUACCCAAAGAAUAAGCACCGGCUAACUUCGUG